UUGAACGCUGGCGGCAGGCCUAACACAUGCAAGUCGAGCGGUAGAGAGUAGCUUGCUACUUGAUGCAGCGGCGGACGGGUGAGUAACGCGUGGGAAUCUGCCCAGUAGUGGGGGACAACAGCCGGAAACGGCUGCUAAUACCGCAUACGCCCUACGGGGGAAAGGGGGGGAUCUUCGGACCUCUCGCUAUUGGAUUAGCCCGCGUGGGAUUAGCUAGUUGGUAGGGUAAAGGCCUACCAAGGCUACGAUCCGUAACUGGUCUGAGAGGAUGAUCAGUCACACUGGAACUGAGACACGGUCCAGACUCCUACGGGAGGCAGCAGUGGGGAAUAUUGGACAAUGGGGGAAACCCUGAUCCAGCCAUGCCGCGUGUGUGAAGAAGGCCUUAGGGUUGUAAAGCACUUUCAGUGGGGAGAAAGGUUUGUCACCUACUACGUGAUGAAAUUGAUGUUACCCACAGAAGAAGCACCGGCUAACUCCGUGCCAGCCGCCGCUGUAA
rnacentral:rRNA from 1 species